UACAGAGACUGCGAGCGUUAUUCGGAUUCGCUGGGCGUAAAGGGUGCGCAGGCGGCCGUGUGUGUGAGGCGUGAAAGCCCGGGGCUUAACCCCGGAAUUGCACCUCAAACUACACGGCUAGAGCAUUGGAGAGGGUAGCGGAAUUCACGGUGUAGCAGUGAAAUGCGUAGAUAUCGUGAGGAACACCAGAGGCGAAGGCGGCUACCUGGACAAUUGCUGACGCUCAGGCACGAAAGCGUGGGGAGCAAAAGGG
rnacentral:rRNA from 1 species